AACGCACAUUGCGCCCGCCAGUAUCCUGGCGGGCAUGCCUGUCCGAGCGUCAUUUCGACCCCUCAAGCCCCCCGGGCUUGGUGUUGGGGGCCCACGGCAGCCCGUGGCCCCCGGAAAACAGUGGCGGCGGCCCGCGCGGCGCCGGGCGUAGUAGAAUACCUCGCCCCGGCGGCCGCGGCGCCUGCCCGCCGUGAAGCGCGGACACCCCCCCUCCCGGGGCGGUGGCCACAGAACACACCGGUUGACCUCGGAUCAGGUAGGAAUACCCGCUGAACUUAA
rnacentral:misc_RNA from 1 species